CCUGAUCCAGCAAUGCCGCGUGAGUGAAGAAGGCCUUCGGGUUGUAAAGCUCUUUUGUCAGGGAAGAAACGGUGCGAGCUAAUAUCUCGUGCUAAUGACGGUACCUGAAGAAUAAGCACCGGCUAACUACGUGCCAGCAGCCGCGGUAAUACGUAGGGUGCAAGCGUUAAUCGGAAUUACUGGGCGUAAAGCGUGCGCAGGCGGUUUUGUAAGACUGUCGUGAAAUCCCCGGGCUCAACCUGGGAAUGGCGAUGGUGACUGCAAGGCUAGAGUUUGGCAGAGGGGGGUAGAAUUCCACGUGUAGCAGUGAAAUGCGUAGAUAUGUGGAGGAACACCGAUGGCGAAGGCAGCCCCCUGGGUCAAAACUGACGCUCAUGCACGAAAGCGUGGGGAGCAAACAGGAUUAGAUACCCUGGUAGUCCACGCCCUAAACGAUGUCUACUAGUUGUCGGGUUUUAAUUAACUUGGUAACGCAGCUAACGCGUGAAGUAGACCGCCUGGGGAGUACGGUCGCAAGAUUAAAACUCAAAGGAAUUGACGGGGACCCGCACAAGCGGUGGAUGAUGUGGAUUAAUUCGAUGCAACGCGAAAAACCUUACCUACCCUUGACAUGGAUGGAAUCCCGGAGAGAUUUGG
rnacentral:rRNA from 1 species